rnacentral:rRNA from 1 species
AGCAGCCGCGGUAAUUCCAGCUCCAAUAGCGUAUAUUAAAGUUGUUGCAGUUAAAAAGCUCGUAGUUGAAUUUCGGGAUCAAUACGUCGGUCGUGCUUCGGUACGUACUAACGUUAUUGGUUUCUUCCUUCUGACGAACCAUGAUGCCAUUAAUUUGGUGUUAUGGGAAAUCAGGACUGUUACUUUGAAAAAAUUAGAGUGUUUAAAGCAGGCUCACGCUUGAAUACAUUAGCAUGGAAUAAUGAAAUAGGACGUUCGACCCUAUUUUGUUGGUUUCUAGGAUCAACGUAAUGUUUAAUAGGGAUAGUUGGGGGCAUUAGUAUUCAAUUGUCAGAGGUGAAAUUCUUGGAUUUAUUGAAGACUAACUACUGCGAAAGCAUUUGCCAAGGAUGUUUUCAUUAAUCAAGAACGAAAGUUAGGGGAUCGAAGACGAUCAGAUACCGUCGUAGUCUUAACCAUAAACUAUGCCGACUAGGGAUCGGAUGAUGUUAAUUUUUUAAUGACUCAUUCGGCGCCUUACG